rnacentral:rRNA from 1 species
UGGAUGAUGUGGUUUAAUUCGAUGCAACGACGAAAACCUUACCCACCUUUGACAUGUACGGAAUCCUUUAGAGAUAGAGGAGUGCUCGAAAGAGAGCCGUAACACAGGUGCUGCAUGGCUGUCGUCAGCUCGUGUCGUGAGAUGUUGGGUUAAGUCCCGCAACGAGCGCAACCCUUGUCAUUAGUUGCUACAUUCAGUUGGGCACUCUAAUGAGACUGCCGGUGACAAACCGGAGGAAGGUGGGGAUGACGUCAAGUCCUCAUGGCCCUUAUAGGUGGGGCUACACACGUCAUACAAUGGAUGGUACAAAGGGCUGCGAAGCCGCGAGGUGGAGCGAAUCCCAGAAAACCUGUCUCAGUCCGGAUUGAAGUCUGCAACUCGACUUCAUGAAGGCGGAAUCGCUAGUAACCGCGAAUCAGCAGGUCGCGGUGAAUACGUUCCCGGGCCUU